AUGGCGGAGGCGUCGGGCGACGGGAGCAUGGAAGACAGGAUCAGCGCCCUCCCGGACGAGCUCCUCAUCCAUGUUCUCUCCCACCUGCGCUCACGCAAAGCUGUGCAGACAUGCGUGCUGGCACGGCGCUGGCGAUACCUCUGGCGGUCGGUGACCUGCAUCGACGUGUCUUUCGAGGAAUUUGAGGACAGGGCUGCUGCAAACGACUUGGAGCGUGAGGAGGUGUUCAAGAUGUUUGUGAACCAUUUGCUGAUUCUCCGUGAACGCGUAGACCUGAAGGAGUUCCAUCUGCAGUACAGCUUGGUGGUCGGGGUCGGCCGCCUCAGUGCUAAGUCUGAUGAAGCCAACCUAUGGAUCCGCCAUGCGUUACAGUACAAGGCUCAGACUGUCAAGAUAGGCAAUCACAGCGAACCUCUGCAGCUUCUUCCCUCGGUAUUCACUUCAACGUACUUGAAAAGACUGCACAUUACCAAUGCUCAACUGAUCCUAGGUUUCUUUGACCGUCUCCGAAAAGGCUGCCCAGCAUUGGAAUAUCUCUUCCUAUCAACCUGCGACAUUGAGGACCUUGACAUUUUCUCCGACACACUCAAGGUUUUGAUCCUCUCUGAUGCUAUCGGGUUCUCAUUCUCAUUUGAGCACGAUGCCCAAGUCUCUAUUUCUGCUCCAAGCCUCAUUUCUCUGUCCGUCAAAGAGUGUCCUUCCGGGGCCAGGCUACCUAUACUAAAGAACAUGUCAUCACUAGAGACUGCAUCAGUAUUGCUUUCAGAAGGAGAUAUCACAACUUGUGAUGCUGAUGGUAUCAGGCAGUUUCUCGGGGGCCUCUCUGGUGUUAGAAGUUUGGAUUUCUAUUAUGGGGAUAGACAGCUGGAGGUGAAAAAUAAUCACGGAUGGUGCCCAACAUUCAACAAUCUUACAAACCUGACUCUUGAUAGGUGGUGCAUGCAUGCGGACUUAUAUGCCAUGAUAGUCUUCCUUCAGAACUCACCUAAUCUGAAGAAGCUAACUCUUAAACUAAACGAGCCACGAUAUCACAACGAGGUUGUAUCUGCAGUCAUCGGCGAGCUGGAGGAUAGAUCGUUUACAUGUGAACAGCUUGAGAUUGUCGAAAUCAUAUGCUCGAAGGGAAAUGAGCUGCUGCUACUUGGGUUGAAUCAGUUUUUGCUAGAAGAGAGUGGCAUAAGGCCUGAUCAGAUGCGUGUCAGUCACCAGAACUAA
rnacentral:rRNA from 1 species